rnacentral:rRNA from 1 species
AAUCCAUAGGUUAAUGAGGCGAACCGGGGGAACUGAAACAUCUAAGUACCCCGAGGAAAAGAAAUCAACCGAGAUUCCCCCAGUAGCGGCGAGCGAACGGGGAGGAGCCCAGAGCCUGAAUCAGCAUGUGUGUUAGUGGAAGCGUCUGGAAAGGCGCGCGAUACAGGGUGACAGCCCCGUACACAAAAGCGCAUGUGCUGUGAGCUCGAUGAGUAGGGCGGGACACGUGGUAUCCUGUCUGAAUAUGGGGGGACCAUCCUCCAAGGCUAAAUACUCCUGACUGACCGAUAGUGAACCAGUACCGUG